ACCCGCCUUCAGGGUGACGGGUCAGGUUAUGAAACGGCAGGGGACAGGACUUCCGAUAGUACCAUGAGAUCUUUAUUGAUCACAAAAGCAGACAGACAAGACUUUGGUUGAACAUCUCAUUCAAAAAAUGGCACUUCUGAUGAUGCUGUAGUCUAUUGACACUGUGUGUGUCACCCUAGCUUAAAGUGCCAGAGGUGAGGCUUGCACCCACGAUCUUCUGACCCAAAGCACGAUCUUGAGAUCUCACAAUUUUGUAUAUCAGUGCCCAAAAGCAUCAGAGAAAAUCACAGCACUGGAUGAAAAAAAGACAGCAAGAAUCCAGCAAGUGGUACUGUGGGUAAUUGAGUGCAGUGACUGGUUUUAUAGGCCAGCAUGGCAACCAUUUUGCACACAGCACGAUACCAUAGCCAUGAAGUGAACAACCAAUUUGGUGUCAAGGAUUGCUGGCCAGGCCACUGAGUCCAACUUGACUUUUCUUUCCAAUAUUGUCAUUGGAUCUGAAUUUAACGUCUCCUCUGAAAGAAGUCGUCGCUGACAAUGCAGAACCUCUCAACACUACACUAAGUGUCCUUCACACUGGUACAUCGCGGAUAGCAUCUCGGAGCGCUGAAAAAUUGCAGAAGACGGAUUUCCACAAAUGGAGAAAACAGAACAUUAACUAAGCAGCUGAAAAGAUGAUUUGAAUAAUAAAUGUACAUUUGAUACUACUAGUCAGCUGAUACCCUGGACUCCUUCAGAAGUGAGCUGAAGGCUAGAGCACCAAAACCCCUAAAAACAAAGGAACUCAAUUGCCACUGUUGGCAUCAGUGGGAUAGAAUUUUAGGCCUUAGUGUUAAUUUUUCCUUUUGAAAUAUUAAUUUUUAACCUAUUACAAGAAGUUUAACUCUUUUUCACAUCAUUUAGUCCACGUUAAUGCAGGAUUUAUUCUUAUAUGCAGUAUAAGAGAAUUGAGAAAUACUUCAAGUUUCAUUGCCAUUAGGUCUUUAAGAUUGGUUGGCUGCUGUGCAUGGGGAGAUUGAUGCUGAAACAAUGAUGUGUCCUCAUUUCUAAUAGCCAACCAGCCCAAACCCAUGGGGAAAUAUACGGUGUGGAAAAAUUCAGUAUUGAACUUUUUAUAAUUUUUCACAUACAAUACAUUCUGAAUAAAUAACAUCAUUGUAAGUUACUAUGCUCUACAACUUGGUAAGAGAAACUUAGCUUUGUUUUUUUAUUUAAAACAUUUUUUAUGAGAAAAUCUUGUGGGGAAAGAAUUGAAGGGCUGCUGUAGAACACAAUUCCCAUUCUCCGACUGGAGCCUUCCCCUUCUCCCAAAUGGUGAAGAAUUGCUGUGCAGCCUGUGUUAACACGAGAGACUUAUGGGAUCCUGUUAUGUGAGGUACUUCAUUUAUCUUUGGGUUAUUUUACUCUUAAUCCAGGCAUUUUGAUACCCAGGUGAUACACAUUUUUUGUAUUGAUGACUAAAAAUGUACUGUGUUCAGUAAACUUCUUUCCAAAGUUUCAA